rnacentral:rRNA from 1 species
CCUACGGGAGGCAGCAGUCGGGAAUCUUGGGCAAUGGGCGAAAGCCUGACCCAGCAACACCGUGUGGGUGAUGAAGGCCUUCGGGUCGUAAAGCCCUGUUGAUAGGGACGAAGGGCGAAGGGUUAAUAGCCCCUAGCUUGACGGUACCUUUCGAGGAAGCCCCGGCUAACUACGUGCCAGCAGCCGCGGUAAUACGUAGGGGGCGAGCGUUGUCCGGAAUUAUUGGGCGUAAAGAGCGUGUAGGCGGUUCGGUAAGUCUGUCGUGAAAUCCUGGGGCUCAACCUCGGGCGUGCGAUGGAUACUGCCGGGCUAGAGGGUGGUAGAGGCGAGUGGAAUUCCCGGUGUAGCGGUGAAAUGCGCAGAUAUCGGGAGGAACACCAGUAGCGAAGGCGGCUCGCUGGGCCACACCUGACGCUGAGACGCGAAAGCUAGGGGAGCGAACAGGAUUAGAUACCCUGGUAGUCCUAGCCGUAAACGAUGGACACUAGGUGUGGGGGGAGUCGAAUCCCUCUGUGCCGCAGCUAACGCGUUAAGUGUCCCGCCUGGGGAGUACGGCCGCAAGGCUAAAACUCAAAAGAAUUGACGGGGGCCCGCACAAGCAGCGGAGCAUGUUCUUUAAUUCGAUGCAACGCGAAGAACCUUACCUGGACUUGACAUGGUGCUGCAAGCGCACGGAAACGUGUGACCUUCGAGGGUGCACCACAGAUGCUGCAUGGCUGUCGUCAGCUCGUGUCGUGAGAUGUUGGGUUAAGUCCCGCAACGAGCGCAACCCCCGUGGCGUGUUGCCAGCAUUUAGUUGGGGACUCACGCCAGACUGCCGGUGACAAACCGGAGGAAGGUGGGGAUGAUGUCAAGUCAUCAUGGCUCUUACGCCCAGGGCUAGAACGUGCUACAUGGCGCAUACAAAGGGCAGCAAGACCGCAAGGUGGAGCGAUCUCAUCAAAAUGCGUCUAAGUUCGGAUCGGGGUCUGCACUCGACCUCGUGAGGCGGAGUUGCUAGUAUCGCGGAUCAGCAUGCGCGUGAUACGUUCCCGGG